UUAACUCAUUCGGUAACUGUUGUUUGUCUUUAUUGAUACGGGGACGUACAGUAAUGUCAUGAACUGGUGAGUAAUUCCUUGAUUUUGCAAUACCACCUAGGGAUAGGGGUAGGACGAUCAAUUGCGUUAACUUCUGCUCUAUAAUUUUGUAUUAAUUGUUAGGGGAGGCUAGGGAUAGCAAGCCAGUAGUUAAUAUUAGGCUCUUUUCGCCGAGGGAUCGGGUUAAGGGUAGGCUAAGAAAGUUGCAUGACAAUUAAUUAAUCAAACUAAUAAUUCAAGAGGAGUAGAUAAGAGAGAGCGGAUAAUGAUGAAAUUGUAAACCCCCAACAACUCCAUUCAUCCAUUGUUUUCUUUUGUCAAUUGAAUCAAUAACUUUUGCAUGUUAAUAUUUUUGUUCUUAAAUAAAUUUAUUAAUUUUUAUUUUCAAGUCUUAUUAUUUUAAUUCACGUGAACGAGAAAGCCUUUCGAGUCUCUUGGGAAGAACGAUAUUGGGUUUUACCAAUUAUAUUAC
rnacentral:lncRNA from 1 species